UCGUAACAAGGUCUCCGUUGGUGAACCAGCGGAGGGAUCAUUACCGAGUUUACAACUCCCAAACCCAAUGUGAACCAUACCAAACUGUUGCCUCGGCGGGGUCACGCCCCGGGUGCGUCGCAGCCCCGGAACCAGGCGCCCGCCGGAGGGACCAACCAAACUCUUUCUGUAGUCCCCUCGCGGACGUUAUUUCUUACAGCUCUGAGCAAAAAUUCAAAAUGAAUCAAAACUUUCAACAACGGAUCUCUUGGUUCUGGCAUCGAUGAAGAACGCAGCGAAAUGCGAUAAGUAAUGUGAAUUGCAGAAUUCAGUGAAUCAUCGAAUCUUUGAACGCACAUUGCGCCCGCCAGUAUUCUGGCGGGCAUGCCUGUCCGAGCGUCAUUUCAACCCUCGAACCCCUCCGGGGGGUCGGCGUUGGGGAUCGGGAACCCCUAAGACGGGAUCCCGGCCCCGAAAUACAGUGGCGGUCUCGCCGCAGCCUCUCAUGCGCAGUAGUUUGCACAACUCGCACCGGGAGCGCGGCGCGUCCACGUCCGUAAAACACCCAACUUCUGAAAUGUUGACCUCGGAUCAGGUAGGAAUACCCGCUGAACCUAAGCAUAUC
rnacentral:misc_RNA from 1 species